GGGAAGAAAAAGGAAAACAGACUUUAAUUCCUUUAUAAUUAGCUAUGACCAGCUCUUAGUCCUUUGCUUUGAGGAACUAUAGCUGCUGACAGAGUGUGUUGCUAUUUACAUUUGCUUCUCAUAACAAUUCUGUUGACAGUUAUUCUAAUUAACCCUUGUUUUACAGAAAGGAAAGAGAUGCUCAAAUUCCCAACAAUGGUAUCUACUAGAGUUCUAACUUUGAAAGUUUUCCAGGGGAAAAAUCUGGCAGAGGCCACCAGUUGGGGACAUCACCAAUAAUGGGACAAGCUGAUAUAUGCCCCUCCUGGUGUGAUACACUGAGACAUAACAUCUCUUGUGUUAUUCCUACCAAAAAUCGAAUCAUGAAGAACAAUCAGAGAAACUUAUUCUAUAAAACAAAUGACCUGGACUCUGCAAAAAUAUCAGUAUCAUCGAAGACAAAAACAAACAAAACAAAAAACAAAACAAAAAGGUGAAGAACUGUUGCAGGUUUGAAGAGACUGGAGACAUAACUAAAUACAAUGUGUGAUCCUAAAA